UAGCUAGUCUAACCUUCGGGGGGACGGUUACCACGGUGUGAUUCAUGACUGGGGUGAAGUCGUAACAAGGUAGCCGUAGGGGAACCUGCGGCUGGAUCACCUCCUUAAU
rnacentral:rRNA from 1 species